rnacentral:pre_miRNA from 1 species
AUACAAAUUACCUCAAGACCUUUUUAAAAUUCAGAUUCUAAUUUUGUAGGCCUGUAGAGAAUCUAAGUUCAGCAUUUUUAAAAAGUUUCCAAGUGCUGCUAAA